AUUGAACGCUGGCGGCAUGCCUUACACAUGCAAGUCGAACGGUAACAGCUCUUCGGUUGCUGACGAGUGGCGAACGGGCGAGUAAUACAUCCGAACGUGCCCGAUCGUUGGGGUUAACGAGGCGAAAGCUUUGCUAAUACCGCACACGAUCUACGCAUGAAAGCGGGGGAUCUUCGGAGCUCGCGCGGACGGAGCGGCCGAGGGCGGAGGAGUUUGUGGGUGGGAUAAAGGCUUACCAAGCCGACGAGCUGUAGCUGUUCUGUGAGGCUGAUCGGCGACAUUGGGACGGGAACAGGGACAAGACUCCUACGGGACGGAGCAGUGGGGAAUUGUAGACAAUGGGGGAAAGCCUGGCCCAGCGAUCGGGCGUGCAGGAUGAAGGCGUUGGGGUUGUAAAGUGCUUUUGUACGGAGCGAAACGCCUCUUUCUGAUACAGAGGGGUCAUGACGGUACCGUAAGAAUAAGCACCGGCUAACUACGUG
rnacentral:rRNA from 1 species